UCUUUACAAUGAUCAGUAAUUUGAUGUAGGCUGCCAAAAGUACGUGAAUCUUGGGUGGGGCAAUAUAUUCCAGCUGAGGCAAUCUCCAAAGAGGGCUGACAACAGAGUGCUAGUCAGGGGAAAAUUCAUUCCUGACGGGGCAUUCUAGGAGAAUCAUCAUGGCCUCCGCUAUAUAAAUCUAACAGAACAGAAAGAGUGGUCACCCACCAAUGGGUACAAAAUUUAUUUCUCCAUAGUUUCAGAGAGGUGUAAGUUGAAAAUUUCAUCUGCCCACAUCCAUCCAACAACUGGUUUCUUCCUCUGAUAAUCUUUAAGAUGUCUAUCAGAGGGUGGUCCUAAGAUGGCGGAGGAAUAGGACGGGGAGACCACUUUCUCCCCCACAAAUUCAUCAAAAGAACAUUUGAACGCUGAGUAAAUUCCACAAAACAACGUCUGAAUGCCGGCAGAGGACAUCAUGCACCCAGAAAAGCAGCCCAUUGUCUUCGAAAGGAGGCCGAUUAUUUACUGCUGAACUGGACAUGGAACAACAAACUGGUUCCAAAUAGGACAGAGUGCAUCAAGGCUGUAUAUCGUCACCAAGUUUGUUUAACUUAUAUGCAGAGUACAUCAUGAGAAACUCUGGGCU